rnacentral:rRNA from 1 species
CCUACGGGCGGCAGCAGUGGGGAAUAUUGCACAAUGGGGGAAACCCUGAUGCAGCGACGCCGCGUGAGUGAAGAAGGUUUUCGGAUUGUAAAGUUCUAUCAGUAGGGAAGAAAGAAAUGACGGUACCUAAAUAAGAAGCGCCUGCUAACUACGUACCAGCCGCCGCGGUAAUACGUGGGCGGCAGGCGUUCUCCGGAAUUACUGGGUGUAAAGGGAGAGAAGGUGGCAAGGUAAGGGAUAUGAGAAAGCCCUAGGCUUAACCUGAGUAUUGCAUAAGGAACUAUGUAGCUAGAGUCCAGGAGAGGAAAGCGGAAUUCGUAGUGUAGCGGUGAAAUGCGUAGAUAGCAGGAAGAACACCAGUGGCGAAGGCGGCUUACUGGACUGAAACUGACGUUGAGGCUCGAAAGCGUGGGGAGCGAACAGGAUUAGAUACCCGUGUAGUC